AAUCCUGCAAUUGAAAUGGUAUAACAUAAAUUUACUGGUAUUUUGUCAUUGUGUUAUGCGUGUGUAAAUAAUCUAUAAAGAGAGAAUCCAUGAAUCGAUGAACGUCCCAUAAGAAAGUUGCGAUAGAUCGGAAGAAGUAGAUAGAUUGGAAAGAACGAUGACGAAGCGUCCACAUGAACACGAUAGAUUUGAUGCAACGAUCUCGAUGACUCAGGAUGUAUGUGUCAUGCGCUAAGGUAAUCUUUCAUCACGUUGAAGAUGUUUAGAAACUUACUUUAUAAAACAUCUUGUCAGCGAAUCGUAACAGUUCAGCGCUAGCAUUCAUCCAACAAUGCAGGAGAAGAUAAAAACCGCAAACGAACAUUAAAAUGCCGGGCAGCAUCGAGCUGAGAAUAUUCAGCAUCAUUUUUCCCACCUCGACUGGAUGUUUCCCAAAAUCCCGAUAGUUUGGAUACAACAAUCGCUCGUAGAGAAGCGCAACGAAAAUGAUGAUCGUUAUUACUUCGACGAAAUUGGACAGAACGAUGUUCCAUCGAAUGCGCUUCAACCUAAACAGUGGAAUAUUUCACACGUUACAUGUAAAUGUUUAUUUCAAAUAAUAUGUCGAUCUUCGUCUAUACGUACUUGUCUUAUUUAUACAUGAGAUUGAAAUUUAAGAUUGGAGUAUGUAUUUUUGAUAUUCAAAAUUUGUUUCUCGCACGAUUCUUCUAUUUCUUAACAAAGUACAAAAUCUAAGAUUGAAAUAUUUAUAGGAAAGAUUAUUUUCGAGCGUAUCCAAAUUUUUGAUCGUAUCUUUCGAUAUUUGCAAUUUUUAUCUCUUGUAGAGGGAUAAGAAGAAUCAAAACACCGAUUGUUCUCUAUACUAUCUCGAUAUGAUGAUACUAUCUCGAGAUUCAUUUAAACUGCAAAAGAUCAUUUAGCGACGCAGAUAGUCAUUUUUAAAUACAUAAUAAUACAUAAUAAUGAUAAUAAUAAUAAUAAUAAUAAUAUUUCCUCGUGUCGUUUCUUAAAUCUCGAUUUUGACACGGCAGGAUGAUAAAUUUAAGGAAUACUUUGAUUCAAUAUACGUAAAUUUUGUUGUUAUAGAAAGAGAAGAAAACGUCCUAGAUAUCUUGGAAAACGUUAAAUUUCACCUCACGUAUAACAACGUAUAACGAUAAUCAUUGAAUUUAAUCCUAAGUUUUCAACUUACCUAGGAUAUCUGUCUUGGUAAAUGAGAGUUGGCGCGAACAAGAAAUAGAGAUACUUGGAAAAAUCAGGUGGCUGUGGUGUUGGUGUAUCUGAAUGAG